rnacentral:rRNA from 1 species
GGCAAAGUUGGCAUGUGAUACCUUUUCGGAAAGCCCAAAGACAGUCCUCCGACGAAAUAAGCAGGACAAUGGAACUUUUCCAUUGACUUUUUGUCGACCCCAAAUUUUGACCUUUAAGUACUUUUUCGGGCAUUUUCGUGAUUUGGGCUAUAUUACGGACCCAAAAUUACUUGUUCAAGCAUUGUUUUCGAAUUUUUUCAUGCAUCAAAGCUCGUUAAGACUAGAUGGGGUAUCCCUACAUAGCGGGUGGGACCCACGGCGAAUGGUUCAUCAAGUCUUCAAAAAAGAAUAUAUACGAUUGCAUUGCAUAUACUAACGGAUGCGAUCAUACCAGCACUAAUGCACCGGAUCCCAUCAGAACUCCGCAGUUAAGCGUGCUUGGGCGAGAGUAGUACUAGGAUGGGUGACCUCCCGGGAAGUCCUCGUGUUGCAUCCCUCUUUUAUGUUUAACCUUUUUUUUUUUGGUUAAAACUUUAUGACUCCAUAACUUGUAGACUG